ACUUAUCUGACUGCAGAGAGGAUGACAGAGAACAGUGGAUGCACAGUUUAACAUGAUGGACUAUAGGACAGGACUGCUGCUUUUAACUCUCUGCUGGGCAGGUGUUGAUGGUCAGACUCUGACAGAAUCUGAACCAGUGGUUAAAAGACCUGGAGAAUCCCACACACUGACCUGUACAGCCUCUGGAUUCUCAUUUAGCAGCUAUGAUAUGGCCUGGGUCAGACAGACUCCUGGAAAAGGACUGGAGUGGAUUGCCUGGAUUUAUAGUAGUGGUAGCAGCAAAUCCUACUCUCAGUCAGUCCAAGGCCGGUUUACCAUCUCCAGAGACAACAGCAGACAGCAGCUGUAUCUGCAGAUGAACAGUCUGAAGACUGAAGAUUCUGCUGUUUAUUAUUGUGCUCGAGAGUCACAGUGACUGGAGUUGGUUUAGCAGCUGUACAAAAUCCUUUUGUUGUGUAUUAAAUUUAAUUUUCAUGCACAGUUUUUACAAUGUUGUUGUAUUUUAUGUUAGACAUAUUUUAAAAUAAUAAAUUACUAAUUUUAAACACAA